CCUUCCGAGGAGCGCUGCGACCCGCCGUACGGCUGGCCAGGCUCGGAAUCAACACCGCGCUCACGUUAC
rnacentral:ncRNA from 2 species